CAGCAGCCACGGUAAUACGUAGGGCGCAAGCGUUGUCCGGAAUUAUUGGGCGUAAAGAGCUCGUAGGCGGUCUGUCGCGUCUGGUGUGAAAUCCCGAGGCUCAACCUCGGGCUUGCAUCGGGUACGGGCAGACUAGAGUGCGGUAGGGGAGACUGGAAUUCCUGGUGUAGCGGUGGAAUGCGCAGAUAUCAGGAGGAACACCGAUGGCGAAGGCAGGUCUCUGGGCCGCAACUGACGCUGAGGAGCGAAAGCAUGGGGAGCGAACAGGAUUAGAUACCCGCGUAGUCCCUGUCUCUUAUAC
rnacentral:rRNA from 1 species